AUUGGCGAGAGGGCUGCAAAGCCUGGCUGGUGGGGGUAACCAGGGGGGCAGCGCUGCUGAAAAAUGGGGAACAGAGCUGCACCUGCUGUUUCAUUUUUGUUUCGAUUUUUGUAAACAUCAGUCUGUUUUAAAACAGUUUGCCUUUUUUUUUUUUCUUUUGCCUUUUAAACAGAAGAUACCUAUUGCUGGAGGUGUUGUGAGCAGGGAGAGGAUAAGCUGUUUGAUGCAGCGUGUGGUACCGAGCUGGGGGUAACGAAGGAGUGGGUAUGUUGCAGGUCAGCACGAGUUCAGGCAGCGAGGUCUAAAUAAAUUGUGCCAUUGCAGCAGCUAUCAUUUGAUGAGAGAGAAGGUUUUGGUCACUAGACCAGUUUGUCUGUGAUCUAUGUACCUUUUGAAAUCAGUACUGUAUUUACCUCAGCAGUGUAGAGGUCCGGGUACAAACCUAAAUAUUUUUUAGCACACUGAGAGUUUAGGAGUGACCAGAUAUUAUUAUAGUAUUAUCUUGAAGUGUGAAGGUGUGGAAACACCGUAAAACGAGGUAAAAUAUCAGAGACUGAAGUAAUGUCUUCAUGUGGUUCUGACCUGUCAUUGACUCGAGCUGUGUUUCUCUUAGGAGAAACAGAUUUCCCUGUGGUGCCAGAGCUGGAUAUAACUGUAUGGCACUCUUUCUUUGAGGCACCUGCACUGAAACGUUCUGGAUUUCAUUGGGCAUGGUGUCUGGUGGUGACGACUGUACAAUCUACUACUGAAGCAAAUUGUAGAGGAGAUGGCUGACCUGUGGCUAUGGCUGCUUUCUGCGUAUAAAUAUUAUUGUGUGUAUCUGUUUGACCAUGGUAGGAUAUCUAAUGUAUUGUAGAAACAAGUUUGGUACCUCCAGACUUGAUGUCACUUUCACCACAGAUGCUUUCUUCCAAAUUUAUUUUCCCUCACUUGAGCCUUGGUAUUUUAAAAAAAAAAAAAAACUUUAAAAGUGUUGUUUUCUAGGAAAACAUACCCUACUGUCAUUUUUUUGGAAAAAGGGAACUUUAUUGUAAACACUGUUUAAGUGAAAUAUGGUGUACAGAAUGUUAAGUAACUGCUGAGCCAAAUCUCAGUGUCAACACAGAAAUCCUUAGUAGAAGAAAAAAUAAAUAUUUUUAUUUUCUCUAAAAGUUUCCCUGU
rnacentral:lncRNA from 1 species